AUUGAACGCUGGCGGCAGGCCUAACACAUGCAAGUCGAACGAGUGGCGGACGGGUGAGUAAUGUCUUGGAAACUGCCGGAUGGAGGGGGAUAACCAAUGGAAACUUUAGCUAAUACCGCAUACUAUUCGAUCGGCCCAGAUGGGAUUAGCUAGUUGGUGGGGUAACGGCCUACCUAGGCGACGAUCCCUAGCUGGUCUGAGAGGAUGACCGGCCACACUGGAACUGAGACACGGUCCAGACUCCUACGGGAGGCAGCAGUGGGGAAUAUUGGACAAUGGGCGCAAGCCUGAUCCAGCCAUGCCGCGUGUCUGAAGAAGGCCUUCGGGUUGUAAAGUACUUUUGGCGGGGAAGCGGUACCCACAGAAGAAGCACCGGCUAACUACGUGCCAGCAGCCGCGGUAAUUC
rnacentral:rRNA from 1 species